UCCUUUCUGUUGUAUAACUGACUAGGUAUCCCCCUUUCUGUUGUACAACUGACUAGGUAUCCCCCUUUCCUUUCUGUUGUAUAACUGACUAGGUAUCCCCCUUUCCUUUCUGUUGUAUAACUGACUAGGUAUCCCCCUUUCUGUUGUAUAACUGACUAGGUAUCCCCCUUUCCUUUCUGUUGUACAACUGACUAGGUAUCCCCCUUUCUGUUGUACAACUGACUAGGUAUCCCCCUUUCCUUUCUGUUGUACAACUGACUAGGUAUCCCCCUUUCCUUUCUGUUGUACAAUUGACUAGGUAUCCCCCUUUCUGUUGUACAACUGACUAGGUAUCCCCCUUUCCUUUCUGUUGUACAACUGACUAGGUAUCCCCCUUUCUGUUGUACAACUGACAAGGUAUCCCCCUUUCUGUUGUACAACUGACUAGGUAUCCCCCUUUCUGUUGUACAACUGACUAGGUAUCCCCCUUUCUGUUGUAUAACUGACUAGGUAUCCCCCUUUCCUUUCUGUUGUACAACUGACUAGGUAUCCCCCUUUCCUUUCUGUUGUACAACUGACUAGGUAUCCCCCCUUUCCUUUCUGUUGUAUAACUGACUAGGUAUCCCCCUUUCUGUUGUAUAACUGACUAGGUAUCCCCCUUUCUGUUGUAUAACUGACUAGG